rnacentral:rRNA from 1 species
GAAUUCGCCCUUAGAGUUUGAUCCUGGCUCAGGAUGAACGCUAGCGGCAGGCCUAACACAUGCAAGUCGAGGGGUAACAGAAGUAGCUUGCUACUUGCUGACGACCGGCGCACGGGUGCGUAACGCGUAUACAAUCUACCUUUUGCUGAGGGAUAGCCCAGAGAAAUUUGGAUUAAUACCUCAUGGUAUGUAUUAAUGGCAUCAUUACUAUAUUAAAGGUUACGGCAAAAGAUGAGUAUGCGUUCUAUUAGCUAGAUGGUGUGGUAACGGCACACCAUGGCAACGAUAGAUAGGGGCCCUGAGAGGGGGAUCCCCCACACUGGUACUGAGACACGGACCAGACUCCUACGGGAGGCAGCAGUGAGGAAUAUUGGGCAAUGGAGGCAACUCUGACCCAGCCAUGCCGCGUGCAGGAAGACUGCCCUAUGGGUUGUAAACUGCUUUUAUACAGGAAGAAACACUCGGACGUGUCCGAGCUUGACGGUACUGUAAGAAUAAGGAUCGGCUAAACUCCGUGCCAGCAACCGCGGUAAUAAGGGCGAAUUC